rnacentral:rRNA from 1 species
GGGCCCGCACAAGCGGUGGAGUAUGUGGUUUAAUUCGAUGCAACGCGAAGAACCUUACCAGGGUUUGACAUCCUGCGAAUCUCUUGGAAACAGGAGAGUGCCUUCGGGAACGCAGUGACAGGUGGUGCAUGGCUGUCGUCAGCUCGUGUCGUGAGGUGUCAGGUUAAGUCCUAUAACGAGCGCAACCCCCAUCGUUAGUUGCCAACGAGUAAUGUCGGGAACUCUAACGAAACUGCCGGUGCAAACCGUGAGGAAGGUGGGGAUGACGUCAAAUCAUCACGGCCCUUACGUCCUGGGCUACACACGUGCUACAAUGCUACGGACAAAGGGCAGCAAGUUCGCGAGGACAAGCAAAUCCCAUAAACCGUGGCUCAGUUCAGAUCGUAGGCUGCAACUCGCCUACGUGAAGGAGGAAUCGCUAGUAAUCGCAGGU